rnacentral:rRNA from 1 species
CAGCUCAGAACGAACGCUGGCGGCAGGCUUAACACAUGCAAGUCGAACGCCCGUAGCAAUACGGGAGUGGCGGACGGGUGAGUAACGCGUGGGAACGUGCCCUGAGGUAGGGAAUAACUGAGGGAAACUUCAGCUAAUACCGUAUGAGCCCCGCAAGGGGGAAAGAUUUAUCGCCUUGGGAGCGGCCCGCGUCGGAUUAGCUAGUUGGUGGGGUAACGGCCUACCAAGGCUUCGAUCCGUAGCUGGUCUGAGAGGACGAUCAGCCACACUGGGACUGAGACACGGCCCAGACUCCUACGGGAGGCAGCAGUGGGGAAUCUUGCGCAAUGGGCGAAAGCCUGACGCAGCCAUGCCGCGUGAAUGAUGAAGGCCUUAGGGUUGUAAAGUUCUUUUACCCGUGACGAUGAUGACGGUAAC